CCUACGGGAGGCAGCAGUGAGGAAUAUUGGUCAAUGGGCGCGAGCCUGAACCAGCCAAGUAGCGUGAAGGAUGACUGCCCUACGGGUUGUAAACUUCUUUUAUAAAGGAAUAAAGUGAGGCGCGUGUGCCUUUUUGCAUGUACUUUAUGAAUAAGGAUCGGCUAACUCCGUUCCAGCAGCCGCGGUAAGACGGAGGAUCCGAGCGUUAUCCGGAUUUAUUGGGUUUAAAGGGAGCGUAGAUGGGUUGUUAAGUCAGUUGUGAAAGUUUGUGGCUCAACCGUAAAAUUGCAAUUGAUACUGGCAGUCUUGAGUACAGUUGAGGUAGGCGGAAUUCGAGGUGUAGCGGUGAAAUGCUUAGAGAUCACGAAGAACACCGAUUGCGAAGGCAGCUUACUAAACUGCCACUGACAUUGAGGCUCGAAAGUGUGGGGAGCAAACAGGAUUAGAUACCCGAGUAGUC
rnacentral:rRNA from 1 species